AAAAAGAAAAAAAAAGAGAAAGAAUGAAUUACUUUUUUUUCAGAAGAAAACAAUAUUAAAUCAUAGCCAUGUAACACAGCUGUAUGAAACCCGUGUUUGUCUAUGACAAGCUUGUCAAGGCAACAGGAUUGGCCAGUAUGGUAAUGAUUAUAGGCCCGCACCAAACGCCAACGUCACAGAUACAACCUGCACAUCAGCAGUCAAUGACAACGGACACGGAUUUUGUGAACUUGAAUUCUGCAGCUUUGGUACAUGCGAUGAGGAAACAGAUCGUGACGACCACCAUCUGUCCUGUUGAGGUAUAACAGUACUAACCAGUGGCUGCCAACAGACCAACUACUGUACCUAGAAAUGGAAAUCACAAUGAAUGAAAACGAGUUAGAAUUUA